UUGCCCACUGGAGGCUGUCUGUGUGUCUAGUGGCCAUAAAAGGGGGGGUACAGUGAACCCUCACUAAAACCCAAGACAGAAGUUGUCUCUCUGUACUUGGAUCCUGUCGUGUGGAACAGUG